rnacentral:tRNA from 1 species
CAAAUUGUAGCUUAAUUAAAGCAUCUCGCUUACACCGAGAAAAUGUCUGAUAAACCCGGACCACUUUGA